CCUGUUAAUGAUCAGUUGUAACAUUACCUUAUGAUACAACUAGAAAAUUUAGGUUGGAAAAGAAUAUUAAGAGCUGUUUUCUUUAUGGAGUGCCAUUGGUAUAAAAAUUGGAUGCAUUUGACUAAACGAGAUAAAAAACGUGCUGGCAAAGCAAGCCAUGCUUCUACUUCGAAAAAUUUUGAAUAAGUAUGUUACAAUGUUUAUUAUGAAUUAGUCAGUGCCAUAGUACCUUCAAUUAAGUAUGAGUUUACUUUAAAGUUGUAAAGCACAAAAUGGAAAACUUACGCUAAAUUCCAGGUAAAACCACACGACAUCAGGAGUGUAAUUUUAACAAGAACUUAAUGACGCGGGUAUUCUCGGUGGACGCUAAACCAGAAAUGAAACAGGUUUUGUCAUGUCUUGAAAAUAUGCAGCAGUGGCUCCAUCUACUUUGAAACCCAACUUAAAAUCCUCUCACUUCUCCAUAAAAGAAGUAAGUCCGACUGUUUUGUAAAUUGUAUUGUUUUUUUGUAAUUGUUGUUGAAUUUUAAAUCCAAAUCAUUUAAAUUUUUUACACAAAACGUUUUAUUGAAAAAAAAAAAGCUAUUUUCCUGUCAGAAUUCCGCUAGAUGGUGAUGCCAGUGACAGUACUUUUCAAAACAAUGGGCCAAAUUGAGUUAGUCAUACAGUUCGUCUGCUUCAGAAAUAGUUAAUUUGCUUCAGGAGUGAGGUUCAUGAAAGCACGUAAAUUUUCUGUUUUUAAAAGAAAAUUGUUUUUUAUCAUUUGUAAUUUUAAAUGGCUGUAAAGAAGCGAAUCAAAAGUUACAAUUCGGGAAUGGGUGCUGUGCUGCUUAUGAUCUUCUGAUUCAUAAUUAUAAAGGCCCUCUUUUAUUGUCUAAUGUUUAACAGUGUUGGUAGUGAAACAAAACUUAGCAACGCAGUUUUGAAGAGGAUCACGAAAAUGUGAAUCUUUUUUCUGACAGACCAACAAAUAAGAAGUUAUUUGGCAUUUUAAAACCGGAAGUAAAACCGGUAGUUGAAAUUCCAGAAAUCUAAAAAAUGAACUUUGUUCUCCUCUAAAUCGUUAACAAGAUUUUGAUAGUUGUAAAAGUAAACGGUUGUUAAUUGAAAGUUACGCGGUGUUUUAAAAGUUCUAGAAGUACAAUUUCAGUUCUGACAAAUAAAUAGACUUGAAUCGAAAAAUCAUACAUUUAACACGAUUAAACCCGUGACUUACUUGAUUUAUAGUGAAAACCUGCAACCGCAAAAUCGCGAAUUUGGGUCAAAUUUCAAAAUCAAAAAAAAAAAAAAAAUGUUGCACGAAGGCUACCUAUCGGAAUGAGUAAUACAGUUGAAAAAAGGUUACAGAUGGGAAAAAGUAGAUGUCGUCUUUAACCCUCCAACAGUCUAGAUUGAGUCUAAUUCACUCCGCAUUCCCUAAUCGUUGAAACGAUUGUCACGAAAAAACCGGCAGUCGUACGUAUUAUUGUGUCGUCUACGCGUGUCACGUGACUGCUUAAAAGAACGAACGCUUAAAAAAACGUUUCAGUCACUUUUGCUGACGCGCUCGAAACGACAUCUAGCGGCAAAAAUAGGGUCGAUUGAAGAUUGAUUUACAUAAGGAACACUUUCGAAAGAAUAUCCCUACCAGGAAAUUCCACAUUUGACUAAAAACUCCAUGCGAUGAGGAACUUCAAUAUAUUUCUGCAUGUGAUGAACAUUCACAAUUGCGGGAAACAUAAUGUGGUUAAAGCAGGCUAAUCUCCAAGACCCGCUAACAAAAUCUCGAACUUCAUAAACUGAUUAUAAUAGACAUAGAAUCAAUGGGAAAACGUUAGGUAAAACCAUCGAAA